AAAUAUUGGUAAUCAUUUAACUCUAAGCUUGCCACUCUACUUUAAAACAAAAUCGUCCACAUAGUUUGAAUGUUCUCUGGUGCAAUAGAGAGAGAGAGAUAGGACAAAGGUAUCAUUGCUUCUAUGAUCAUUUCGAAGAAAGAGAGAGAGAGACAGAAAAAGAGCAGAUUUCAGAUUAAAACUUUUCUGAACAACACAUAAUGGAUGGUCUCAUGCUACUCAAGACAAUUUGUCUCUUCUUCCUUCUCAUUUCUACUUCUCUCUUGUCAACUUCAUGUGCAGGUCGACAGUCGAGAUUUGUAAGCAACUUUGAGAAAGAAGAGCUGGGUGGAACUCAUUAUAAGGAAGUGUCAGUAGGAGAGCAAUUACACCAUGAGGAGAUGAGUGAAAUCCAUGAAAGGCUUCUUAAGGCCAACACAAAGGAUUAUGGGAGAUAUGAUCCAGCACCUGCCCUUUCUAAGCCUCGUUUCAAGCUCAUACCCAACUGAUCUAUGUGAUUUCGAAACAAUUAUAUGUAUGAGGAAUAUAUUUGGCUAAGUCUCCAGACCAUUUUAGGGUUUGUGAACCGCUAGUACGAGUUAAAUUAUGAACCCUAGUGCUAUGUCUUAAUAUAUGUUUGCAGCUGUAAUAUACUAUCCUUUUAUGUUUAUAUAUUUUCUAUGAACUGGAUGUUUGUACGUCUGUAGUAUUCUCUGUAUGAUUAUAUGAAAAAAUAAAACUUUUGUAUGUUCUUGCUC